GUCUACGGCCAUACUACCCCGAAAAAGCCCAAUCCCAUCUGAUCCCGGAAGCUAAGCAGGGUUGGGCCUGCUAAGUACUUGGAUGGAAAACCACCCAGGAACACCAAAAAUAAAUA
rnacentral:rRNA from 1 species